GACGAACGCUGGCGGCGUGCUUAACACAUGCAAGUCGAACGGAAAGGCCCUGCUUUUGUGGGGUGCUCGAGUGGCGAACGGGUGAGUAACACGUGAGUAACCUGCCCUUGACUUUGGGAUAACUUCAGGAAACUGGGGCUAAUACCGGAUAGGAGCUCCUGCUGCAUGGUGGGGGUUGGAAAGUUUCGGCGGUUGGGGAUGGACUCGCGGCUUAUCAGCUUGUUGGUGGGGUAGUGGCUUACCAAGGCUUUGACGGGUAGCCGGCCUGAGAGGGUGAACGGCCACAAUGCGACUGAGAUACGGCCCAGACUCCUACGGGACGCAGCAGUGGGGAAUAUUGCACAAUGGGCGGAAGCCUGAUGCGGCAACGCCGCGUGCGUGAUGACGGCCUUCUGGUUGUAAACCGCUGUCGCCGGAGACGAAGCGGGAGUGACGGUAAUUGGUAAAGAAGCACCGGCUAACUACGUG
rnacentral:rRNA from 1 species